CAAACUGCAAAGAAACUGCAGGCCAUGAGCGUGAGCAUGAGCAUGAAUGGGGGUGUGGUGGGCUGACUUGUUUUUCAGCAUCAUCAUGACAAGAGCUGACUGAUACAGAAGAUGAAAUGUCACAGGCCCUGCUGACAUCCCUCCCUUGGAGACAGAUCUGCCCAUCUUACCGUCUGCUACCUAAGAGUGGUUGCAGCCAGACAUCCUGACCUUGUUCCUCUUAGCCAGACACUGAGGGAAACACAGGACCUGCCUUCAGAGGGAGAAGUUUAUCAUCCUACUUGGGAAGAUCCCCUGCCUCAUCACCCCAUUCCUUGGUGGAAGGCAGCCUUGCCUCACAGCCUUGGGAUUCUGUGGACCUGUCGCAUGUAACGACUGACCCAGACAAUAACUGCUGCAGUGAAUAGUGAGACCCGAGUACCUGCAACUGCAGAAGACGUUCUUGCCUGCGUUGCCCCCCCGCAGGAAUGCACAUCCUCCCCUCCCUCAGGGAGUUAAGGCCAUAUGUCCCUCAGCUCUCAGCUCAGUGGCCACUUUCUCAGUGGCCUUCGCUGACAGGUCACGUCCCCCACUGGCCACUCCCCUAACUCUUUGCUUCUUCAGAGCACUGCGCAGUGCAGUUUCACUCUUGAUCUGUUCAAUGUCUAUUUGCCACCCCAGUCCCACCCCCUGACUGUAAGCUCCAUGAAGCCAUGGGUAAGUUUCUGGUUGGUUGGUUUUGCAUACCCUGUGCCCAGCAUGUACCUGGCACACGGAGCCUUAGUAAAUAUCAGUUGACUAGAAGAGGGUCUUGGUGCUACCAGCUGUCAGAAGUGCCCCUUUCUUGGGUAAUUACUUGAUUUCCUGGACUUUCUUUCCUCUCUUUAAAUCCCAUAGCUCAUGAACUCAUUCGGUUCUGACUGUACUUGCAAGGUCCCUUCUGGCCCCUCAAGGUCACACGUGCAAGAACAGAAAUGGGAUCUUCUCUCACAAAAAGGUCUCAUCGUCUGUAUCUUGGAGGUGAGGGCAGGUGCCUCUCCGUUAAUAAAGAGGGAAACUGAGGCACAUGGUCCCACCCGAGUUUACUUGGCCAACCCUGGCUAGUGUUGGAGCUGUUGAUAGGAAAUUGGUUCUGCCCCUUUUGUUGUCACCGUGGGCAUUCAUUGUUUUCCUCCUCUAAUGAUGACUUUGGCACCAAAUACCCUGGGUCUGAAACGCCUGAUCCUCGUUAAGCAGCCCUGGCUUUAGAGGGUCUGUGGGCGAAUAGGGAGGGAUUGGGAGCCAUCCACUGGCCAGGUGUUUGGGAGCAGCUGCCGUUUUUCCUUCCUUUGUUUUUUCCACCCUCGCUGGUUUUAACCCUCAUCCAGAAGGCCACUUUGUCUGGGACAGAGAGGUAAUUUCGUCUCGCGUCUGUUUGGCAGCUCCCUGAUUACCAGCUGAGCCUGAUUACACAGUCUGUGUGCCUGUCCCAGGACAGACGUGCCGCGGCCGCGCUGGAGGACCGAGGCGGCUCCAACUGUGAAAUUGUGUUUUGGAGUCUCACUUCCAACACUUCUGCAGGGUGGGAGCUGGGGCAAAGGGCUCCGGGUUCCACUGUUCCUUCCAAAGCUACUUGCGCUCACUGUCUCUCUCCAGCAGGGGGUGCUAGUGGGUAAACCGAGCUCCCCUUUCUGCAGACCUAGGCGCUGCCCCUUUCCCAGGCAAUCCUGGGAUUUCACGGCGUGUGUGUGCCUGUGUGUGUGUCUUACCUUCUCUCACAAGAACAACUUCCACUCGCGAAUUUAACAAGCGUGACUGCGAUUCUCACAAACAAUUAUUGAGAACCUCUGUGUGAGGAGGUGAAGGUGUUAAAAGACAUGGUUCUCAUCUCCGCAUUUCGGACAGAUGGCGGCGUGGGGAGUUAUGAUCGUGGGAACCCAGGAGGAGAGAUUCCUAUUCUCAGAGAACGGAACUCUCUCAGAGAGUGACCUGGGAAGGCGUCACUGAAGACGUGCCAUCUUGAUUGGGCUUUAAAGAGAAUAACUGAGUUUGGUUUUUUUUUUUCCCAGAUGACGAAGUGAUGGCAGGACAGAGGGGACACUCUCACCCAGAGAGGCCUGGAAACCGGAGGUGUGCGAGGUGGGGAAACAGCGUGGGUAGUAACCUGUCCUUGGUGAGUGGAGAAAGCCAGCAAGCACAUGUGCCUGGAAGACAUGCUGGGAGGACCCUGGGGAAGGAGAGGGUGAAAAUAAGGCUGGAAGUUGGGCCGAGAUCAGAGGGGAAGGAGGUUAUGUAAUAAGCUAGUUCACUGUGAGGCAGGCAGUCACCAUAUCAGCACCUUUUCAAACAUGGAGCCAGUCAUCGCGCUUCUAUAAGAAAACAUCGCCUUUAUGGACAGAUCAAAUGUUUCUCCUGGAUAUGUCGAUUUCUGAUAGAUAAAACAUGUGUCGUAGAUAAACCAAGGGAGGUUGUUUUUUCGAAAAUAAUUUUAUUGACCUACAGCUGAUUUAUAAUGUGUUAAUUCUGCUGUACAGCAGUGAUUCAGUUAUAUACAUACGAUAUAUAAUAUAUAUUCUUUCCUGUAUUCUUUCCCAUUAUGAUUUGUCACAGACAGUGAAUGUAGUUCCCUGUGCUCUACAGUAGCCCCUUGUUGUUUUUCCGUCCUAUAUGUAAUAAUUUGCCUCUGCUAAUCCCAAACUCCCAAUCCUUUCCUCCCCUACUCUUCCUCUUCCCCUUUGGCAACCACAAGUCUGUCCUCUGUGUCUGUGAGCCCAUUUUGGUUUUGGAGAUAAGUUCGUUUGUAUCAUGUUUUAGAUUCCGCAUGUAAGUGAUAACAUAUGGUAUUUGUCCUCUUUCUGAAUUACUUCACUUAGUAGGAUAAUUUUAGAUCCAUCCGUGUUUCUGCAAAUGGCAUUAUUUCAUUCUUUUUUAUGGCAGACUACUAUUCCAUUGUGUAUAUGUAUCAAUCUUCCUUUUAUAAAGUGGGAUUGGGGCUGGAUUGAGAAUAACUGUCAAAUAGAACGUAGGGGCUGGCAUCACCGAGCGCUUACGGCAUGCCAGCAUGGUGUAUGCACUUAAUGUAUGUUUACCACAUUUAAUCCUCAGAACAACACCGCCGGGCAGGUAUUAUUACCACCCCCAUUUGGCAGUUGAAAGUGCCUAGAACAAUGGGCAUUUGGUGAGUCAUGCAGUUUGAAGCUGAUCGAUCUGACUUCCGGGAUUGUGUGGUAACCUAUACACUAUCUGGGUGAUAGCCAGAAGGCCAGGCCAACGAAUGUCAGUUUCCUCCAGGCAGCGGGGAGCCACAGAGGAUUCAGAGCAAAGGGGAGGUCUGAUCAGUGGAUGACGAUGGGCUGCCUGGGCCCGUGAACUUGACUGCGUGCAUGUCUUCUCAGUCAUCCAUAUGCCUUAAAUCACCCCUCAGCAGGAGCACCUGCAAUUAGACAGCCAUCCUAACUUAAAUUCCCCUUGUCGUCUUCUGACUAAAUUCAGCAGUCUGAAGACAAUCUCAUAGAUCCCAAACUCCCAAAAUGAUGGACAUGUUCCCCAACAAGCAGGGGUCGUCUGUGUUAACGACUCUGGCCAGGACUCUCAGAAUUCCUGCAGCCGGAGCUGCCUUUCACCUCCUGCAUUGGGGUUCCUGCCCUCGGAUUCAUCAUUUUACUGCUUUCCAGUCUUCUUUGUCCUUUUCUAACCACCUUUCCAAAUGAACCUCUGAAUUUCAUCCCUGCUCUUCCUGGGGUCUGCAAAUCCUCCGUAAUGAGUCACCAUCUGCAGGUUUCAUUUUUAUGCAGUCUCCCCUCCCCCUUCAGGUUGGUAAUAAAAAUAUUAAAUAGGACUAAACCCAGUGCUGACCCCUGCAGUGCCCUGCUAGACACCCCCCCUUGGGAUUGGCUCCUUUUAUCACUGGCCUUUUUUUCCUGCAGUUGUUUGGCUAAUUUAUAGUCAUCUCCCUCUGUCCUCAGCCUACUCACCCUGAACCGAUUUUGAAAAUAAAAAUGGUGAAAGAUAUCCCAAGAUUUUCUAGUUAAAGCCCAAAUCUGUUGUUGUUUUUUUUCUGUACAGCAGGAAACAAUGAUGGGAUACAACAGAGUCCCUCUUUUUCCUAACAAGAUAUUAAAAAUCAGCACAUUUUGAUGCGAUCUGGAGAAUUGAUGAAAUGUUUACGUUUCAACAGGUUCUUCAUCCUGUGUUCAUGAGUUAACAGUUGCCGAUUAAGAGUAAAAGUUUCCCUCAGCUUCUCUUUUAGAUCACAAACUGAAGUUUAGGGUAUUUUGUGCUUCCAUUUCUUCAG
rnacentral:lncRNA from 1 species